UGGCGAGUGGCGGACGGGUUAGGAAUAUAUCGGAAUCUACUCUUUCGUGGGGGAUAACGUAGGGAAACUUACGCUAAUACCGCAUACGACCUACGGGUGAAAGCGGAGGACCUUCGGGCUUCGCGCGAUUGAAUGAGCCGAUGUCGGAUUAGCUAGUUGGCGGGGUAAAGGCCCACCAAGGCGACGAUCCGUAGCUGGUCUGAGAGGAUGAUCAGCCACACUGGAACUGAGACACGGUCCAG
rnacentral:rRNA from 1 species